rnacentral:lncRNA from 1 species
AAAACUGUAUAUCAUGUUAAAAAGAAUCUUAACAACAUAUUGUUAUUAUUAAAUAAAUUUACAAGAGUCUCAUUAAUAAAAUACCAAUACUCCAUCACUUAAAGAAGACCCAUAUGCAAUGAGUGUUUUGACCAACAUUAUGUUAUAAAAACUGUGGCGUCCCAAUUAUAUAGAAAAGAAAUAUAUAAAUAAGACGUCAUCAUACAUAAUAUUUGAAAACAGUUAGAGAAUGAUGGAGGUGUUU